ensembl:lncRNA
CCUGCCUGGAGGGCGGAGCAUCGUGCUGGGAGCAGAACAGCAGCUGCUGUGAGAAUGAGGAAAGAACAAUGAAUUCUCAUUGGCGGCCUUGGGAAAGCCUGCCGUUUGAGCUGUGCCUUGGAAGCAUGCUAGUGGAAGAGAAAGGAAGGAGGAUACCGGAAAAGGUGGGGAAGCAUGAAGAGAAGCACGGAGGAGGGAAAGAGAGUGCAGUGUUAGGGAAAUGCCAGGAGCCAGGCUUGGCUGCUAUGCAGAACAUUUGGUGAAAAGUUGAAGAAGUUGGAAAGAAAGGCCAGAAAGAGAACGUCUUACAUGCAAGAUUCUCCAUUAAAAAGGGCAAGUAGAACCUGCUCAAGGGGGAGGUGACCAAUUGGGAGCUCUCAUACUCUCAUAGAUGCAUCUCAUCACAGGAAGUGAUGGAGUGACCAGAGCUCCUACCCAGUUUGGCCAAUAGGUGAAGGCAGCAGUUCCUGAAAUGACAGAGAGUGUACAGGUUGUCGCUGUGAAUGGCAAACCCCAAGGCUGGGCUCUCAGGUGCCUCCAUCAUUCAGAGGGGAGUCGCUGAGAGUUAUUUCUUCGCCAUUCCAGGAAGCCAGCUCUCUGUCUUCCCAUCCCCUUGUCUGCAGCCAGAGGCAAGAUUGUGGAGGUGGAUUCAGGAGACGGGGAUGACAAAGAUGGGUUUUAACAGCUGCCAGCUAGGGCCACCAGCCGUUGUGCUCCAGCAAUGACCUGCGAGCAGAAUUCUGAAAGCUGGACCUCCAGGUGACUCCUGGUGGCUAGAGUGGCUCUUUUUCAUGUUACAUCUGCCAACACCUAGGCCACAAAUUUGCCACUGCUCACACUUCUUGGAUGAAGGUGGCUGAAGCUGACUUCAUAGGAACCACUCUGUCACCUCCCAGCUCUUCGGCCUUCUGGGAGUCCUUUUCCUAUUCAUGGAAUGGCGUUUGAGUAGAAUCUUCCCUUGAACACCCACCAGCCAUGACUGUGCAACCAAAAGCAGCUGCAGUUGGUCAACUUCUCUAUCGAUGCUCUACUCAACUCAAGUCCUGACAAGUUUGGAGAAAUCUCAGUUUUGCCCAGUUCUCUGCUCUCAAACAUGUAUAUUGACAAGGACUCUGUCGAGAAAGCAAGACUUAGCCUUUCUAUAAGGAUUGUAGGGGUCUUAAAACAUCAUUUAUUCCAUAUCCCUGAAUUUCCAUUAUCUCAUACUCACAGAGACAGAACAUCACUUUCUUGACAGUAUUUUAAGUUCUGGCAGCUGCUAAUAAGUUCUCCCUCAUGCCCUUUACAAAGUGCUUUCACAUCAAUUACUUCUUUUCUGUUGACCCUUUGUGAGUUGAGAAUCAGGCAUUUAGUUCAUUAAGUUCUCCCUUAUUAUAAAAUUUCAUACUAUAAAUUUCUCUCUAAUUACUGAUUUACCUGAACCUCAAAAAAAUUGUUUAGUCAUUCUGUUAUAUUUAUUUCCAUUAUGGUUUCUCAUUUAAUCCAUAAAUUCAUAAUAUGAUUUUUUUUCAUUUCCAUAUCAGUUUCUUUUUUAGUUAUUGCUUCUUGCACCCCACUCCUUUCCCUGGGUUCAAUUCCAGUACUCCUUUUAGAGGUUCUUUCAGAAAGGGUCUAUGAGUGAUAAGUUUUCUCAUCAUUUAUGUGAAAUUGUUUUCAUUUUUCCCUCCCUCUCCAAUGAAAAGUUAACUAUGUGUAGAAUUUGAAGCUGGCAGUAACUUUGUCUCUCAAGACUUAGAAGAUACUUAUUCCACCAUCUCCUGGCCGUUAUUGUUGACAUGAAGAAGUCUGUGGAUUCUCUCUCUCCUUCUGACCGUAUUUAGGAUUUUUUGUUUAAAAACUUUAUCUUUGGUGUUUUUCAUUUUCAGUAUAAAGUGGCUAUGGUAUAUAUUUUUAAAUUUAUAUUAUUAUUUUUAAUAUUGCUUGGGACUCAAUGGGAUUCUUAAAUCUGAAGAUGUCUUACAUAAGUUCCAGAAAAUUCUCAGUCAUUAUUUUUGAAUGUUACCUAUUUUUUUUU